CUUGCCCCAAGGCUGGGCAAUUAAGUUCUCUUUCCUAGGUAUUGAAACUGGGACCAAAGACUGCAGUUCAGAGACGUUGGUGGCUGCAGCAGAGAGGUGGUGCAGGGCUGGAGCUGGGGAGUCAGACACCGCUGAGCUGCAGGGCCGAGGGGUCAUGUGGUUCCUGAGAGACACCACAGUACACUCUUCUGACUUACUAGGCGGACUUUGUCUACACACCAGGGAAGAUGGCUUCAGGCAGUCCACAUACUCCCAUGCCUAUGACACAAAGUUUGCGUCAAAUGCCGAAUGACCGUAGAAAGGUGGACGUUGAGUUCUUCAGCAGCUUCUGGUGUAGUUGUAAGAGGACCAGCUUCCGUGAUUGCUCUCAGUUGGUGGUUGUCAACUUCCGACGACUGGCCGCUACGCUCCUCAUCUUCAAGGCUCUCCUCUCUUUUGCAAAACUUCUUGAACCCCCACUGCACGGUAACUGUGGCCACGUGGACCAAGCCAACGCCGGCUCCUCUCAUUCCCAUUGAGAUCAGCAAGGCAACUCCAGCCUGUACCACCAAUAUCCCCAGGCCAGGAGAACAGCCAGUGAAAGCCCAUUUGAAAGACUGCCAUAUUCCUCACCAAUCCGUUUCUCAAGGCCAAGCAUUCAGAACAUUAGCCAAAGCAGCAAACUGCUAAAGCAGCUGCCCACACCCCCUGAAAGAAUGCACCUAAAUCAAUAACUUCAUUCCAG
rnacentral:lncRNA from 10 species